UACGAAGGGGGCUAGCGUUGUUCGGAAUCACUGGGCGUAAAGCGCACGUAGGCGGAUUGUUAAGUCGGGGGUGAAAUCCUGAGGCUCAACCUCAGAACUGCCUCCGAUACUGGCGGUCUCGAGUCCGGGAGAGGUGAGUGGAACUGCGAGUGUAGAGGUGAAAUUCGUAGAUAUUCGCAAGAACACCAGUGGCGAAGGCGGCUCACUGGCCCGAUACUGACGCUGAGGCACGAAAGCCAGGGGAGCAAACGGG
rnacentral:rRNA from 1 species